UACGGAGGGUGCAAGCGUUAUCCGGAUUCACUGGGUUUAAAGGGUGCGUAGGUGGGCAGGUAAGUCAGUGGUGAAAUCUCUGGGCUUAACCCAGAAACUGCCGUUGAUACUAUCUGUCUUGAAUAUAGUGGAGGUGAGCGGAAUAUGUCAUGUAGCGGUGAAAUGCUUAGAUAUGACAUAGAACACCAAUUGCGAAGGCAGCUCGCUACACUAUUAUUGACACUGAGGCACGAAAGCGUGGGGAUCAAACAGG
rnacentral:rRNA from 1 species